rnacentral:rRNA from 1 species
CGUAGGUGGCGAGCGUUGUCCGGAAUUACUGGGCGUAAAGGGAGCGUAGGCGGUUUUUUAAGUGGGAUGUGAAAUCCCCGGGCUUAACCUGGGAAUGGCAUUCCAAACUGGGAAACUAGAGUGCAGGAGAGGAAAGUGGAAUUCCGAAGUGUAGCGGUGAAAUGCGUAGAGAUUUGGAGGAACACCAGUGGCGAAGGCGACUUUCUGGACUGUAACUGACGCUGAGGCUCGAGAGCGUGGGGAGCAAACAGGAUUAGAUACCCUGGUAGUCCACGCUGUAAACGAUGAAUACUAGGUGUUGGGGGCUAAGCCCUCAGUGCCGCAGUUAACACAUUAAGUAUUCCGCCUGGGGAGUACGAUCGCGAGAUUA